AUACGGAGGGUGCGAGCGUUAAUCGGAAUUACUGGGCGUAAAGCGCGCGUAGGCGGUUUGUUAAGUCGGAUGUGAAAUCCCCGGGCUCAACCUGGGACCUGCAUCCGAUACUGGCAGGCUAGAGUCUGGUAGAGGGGGGUAGAAUUCCUGGUGUAGCGGUGAAAUGCGUAGCUAUCAGGAGGAAUACCAGUGGCGAAGGCGGCCCCCUGGACUGAGACUGACGCUGAGGUGCGAAAGCGUGGGGAGCAAACAGGAUUAGAUACCCUAGUAGUCC
rnacentral:rRNA from 1 species